rnacentral:tRNA from 1 species
GCUCCUGUAGUCGAGCGGGAAGCCGCCGGCCUCCGCCGGGGCGCCGGCGGGCGGCGGCGAGCCCGUCUCGGACCA